UAGGUUUUUCACAGCAGAGGGAAGAAGGGCCGGGACCUGAGCCUGCCCCCACUCCUUCGUCCUUCCAAAAUUCCCCUGGAUUAUUGGCUGAUUUAUUUCCCAAUAUCCCCUAUGAGGCAGAGCGGUGAAGGCUUCCUUUUCUGGGACUAAAUGAAUAUGGGGAUGAAUACGUCUGGGUCAACAAACACACAAAAACCAACAGCUAGGAACUUGUGGAUUUCAGGAUAAAAUGACAUCUAUGGAGAAACGCCUGAUACAGCCGUUCUUAUUUUUCCACUAAAUACCCAGGAAGGCAGAGAAAAAGAUGAAACCUCAGUUGGUUUGGAAACAGAGAUGGCUGCCAAACUCAUACCAGAAGCUGGGAGGAGUUUCUACUAAUGAUCACGGCAGAGGACAAUGUUGGAGAGAAACUUGUGACUCAGGGACCAGGGAUGAAGCAAGCAUGAGACCACCUGCUACGCAGAAGGACCAUGCCGACCACAUCACAGCUGUCUGCCUGGAGCCACAGGCGACUUGGUAUGAGCAGGAAAUAAACUUCUCUCAAGCUGU
rnacentral:lncRNA from 1 species